GAUGAACGCUGGCGGCGUGCUUAAUACAUGCAAGUCGAACGGAAAGGCCCAAGCUUGCUUGGGUACUCGAGUGGCGAACGGGUGAGUAACACGUGGGUGAUCUGCCCUGCACUUCGGGAUAAGCCUGGGAAACUGGGUCUAAUACCGGAUAGGACCACAUUUUGGAUGGUGUGGUGGAAAGUUUUUCGGUGUGGGAUGAGCUCGCGGCCUAUCAGCUUGUUGGUGGGGUAAUGGCCUACCAAGGCGUCGACGGGUAGCCGGCCUGAGAGGGUGUACGGCCACAUUGGGACUGAGAUACGGCCCAGACUCCUACGGGAGGCAGCAGUGGGGAAUAUUGCACAAUGGGCGCAAGCCUGAUGCAGCGACGCCGCGUGGGGGAUGACGGCCUUCGGGUUGUAAACUCCUUUCGCUAGGGACGAAGCGUUAUGUGACGGUACCUGGAGAAGAAGCACCGGCUAACUACGUG
rnacentral:rRNA from 1 species